rnacentral:ncRNA from 1 species
UAUUCUCAGGGCGGGGUGAAAUUCCCCACCGGCGGUAUCUCAGUUACUACUGAGGAGCCCGCGAGCGCUCUUGAUAUUAAGAGGACAGCAGAACUGGUGAAAAACCAGUGCCGACGGUACAGUCCGGAUGAAAGAGGAUA